UUUAUGGAGAGUUUGAUCCUGGCUCAGAGUGAACGCUGGCGGCGUGCCUAAUACAUGCAAGUCGAACGAUGAAGCUUCUAGCUUGCUAGAAUGCUGAUUAGUGGCGCACGGGUGAGUAACGCAUAGGUCAUGUGCCUCUUAGUUUGGGAUAGCCAUUGGAAACGAUGAUUAAUACCAGAUACUCCCUACGGGGGAAAGAUUUAUCGCUAAGAGAUCAGCCUAUGUCCUAUCAGCUUGUUGGUAAGGUAAUGGCUUACCAAGGCUAUGACGGGUAUCCGGCCUGAGAGGGUGAACGGACACACUGGAACUGAGACACGGUCCAGACUCCUACGGGAGGCAGCAGUAGGGAAUAUUGCUCAAUGGGGGAAACCCUGAAGCAGCAACGCCGCGUGGAGGAUGAAGGUUUUAGGAUUGUAAACUCCUUUUGUUAGAGAAGAUAAUGACGGUAUCUAACGAAUAAGCACCGGCUAACUCCGUGCCAGCAGCCGCGGUAAUACGGAGGGUGCAAGCGUUACUCGGAAUCACUGGGCGUAAAGAGCGCGUAGGCGGGAUAGUCAGUCAGGUGUGAAAUCCUAUGGCUUAACCAUAGAACUGCAUUUGAAACUACUAUUCUAGAGUGUGGGAGAGGUAGGUGGAAUUCUUGGUGUAGGGGUAAAAUCCGUAGAGAUCAAGAGGAAUACUCAUUGCGAAGGCGACCUGCUGGAACAUUACUGACGCUGAUUGCGCGAAAGCGUGGGGAGCAAACAGGAUUAGAUACCCUGGUAGUCCACGCCCUAAACGAUGGAUGCUAGUUGUUGGAGGGCUUAGUCUCUCCAGUAAUGCAGCUAACGCAUUAAGCAUCCCGCCUGGGGAGUACGGUCGCAAGAUUAAAACUCAAAGGAAUAGACGGGGACCCGCACAAGCGGUGGAGCAUGUGGUUUAAUUCGAAGAUACACGAAGAACCUUACCUAGGCUUGACAUUGAGAGAAUCCGCUAGAAAUAGUGGAGUGUCUGGCUUGCCAGACCUUGAAAACAGGUGCUGCACGGCUGUCGUCAGCUCGUGUCGUGAGAUGUUGGGUUAAGUCCCGCAACGAGCGCAACCCCCUUUCUUAGUUGCUAACAGGUCAUGCUGAGAACUCUAAGGAUACUGCCUCCGUAAGGAGGAGGAAGGUGGGGACGACGUCAAGUCAUCAUGGCCCUUACGCCUAGGGCUACACACGUGCUACAAUGGGGUGCACAAAGAGAAGCAAUACUGCGAAGUGGAGCCAAUCUUCAAAACGCCUCUCAGUUCGGAUUGUAGGCUGCAACUCGCCUGCAUGAAGCUGGAAUCGCUAGUAAUCGCAAAUCAGCCAUGUUGCGGUGAAUACGUUCCCGGGUCUUGUACUCACCGCCCGUCACACCAUGGGAGUUGUGUUUGCCUUAAGUCAGGAUGCUAAAUUAGCUACUGCCCACGGCACACACAGCGACUGGGGUGAAGUCGUAACAAGGUAACCGUAGGUGAACCUGCGGUUGGAUCACCUCCUUU
rnacentral:rRNA from 1 species